GUAAUUUUUCCCUUACACACUUCAGAGCUGCACUCUCAGCACUACUGCAUUAGAAAGGGGACUUUGUAGAAUAAGCAGAGAUGCGCCUUACAGAUUAAACGAUUUUAUCACAGAGCUUCACAAACAGACUUAAUGCCUUCAUGGAGGUGAUCAUUCACAGAGGAGGAUCGCUUUCUCUGAUAAGGCAGGACUAUUCCACCUCAGCUAAUGUGUGAUUCUUAACACAUUUUCCUGUAUUUGCAGUGGAUUACAAGCUUUAAAAUAUCAACAAGGGAGACGAGUGGAUACCAUUAUGGACCUACAUCCUUAAUACUUCCUGAUGAUGAUGAAGAAAACUACGGAGAAGAAACUCCCCAGCUGCGCUGCACUGCCAAGACUCCUGGGUCCUGCCUCACGGACGCUUCAGCCACACCGGGAAAAACAGCGACCUUCACACAGACCCAGCACCUCUUCACCUCCUUGUAUGCAUCAGAAUUUAAAUAAAAACCCCACUUCUGUGCACUACCUCUGCCUCCCAAGUGUCUGUGUUCUGCCUGUUUGGGCCCUGAGCGGCCCCCCCCACACACACACCAAAAUAAAUAAAUAAAUAAAUAAAUAAAUAAAUAAAUAAACUUUCUAAAAUACUUCACUGGAGUAGUAAACAGGUCUACAUAGUUACAG
ensembl:lncRNA